rnacentral:ncRNA from 1 species
CUUAUGGAUCUCCCUGGGAAGAGGAAAUAGAUGAGAUGUUGUCUGGUUAAUUCCAAUAACAAACCAGACUCUGGCAUGCUAACUAGUUAUGCAACCCCUGAGAGGUUAGUGUCCCCCAACUUCUUAGAGGGACAAGUAGAUUUCAGCCAUCCAAGAUUGAGCAAUAACAGGUCUGAGAUGCCCUUAG